UACAUGGGGUGCAAACGUUGCUCGGAAUUAUUGGGCGUAAAGCGCGCGUAGGCGGUUACUCAAGUCGGAUGUGAAAGCCCUCGGCUUAACUGAGGAAGUGCACCCGAAACUGAGUAGCUAGAGUACUAAAGAGGGUCGCGGAAUUCCCGGUGUAGAGGUGAAAUUCGUAGAUAUCGGGGAGGAACACCGGUGGCGAAGGCGGCGACCUGGGUAGAUACUGACGCUGAGACGCGAAAGCGUGGGGAGCAAACAGGG
rnacentral:rRNA from 1 species